GACGAACUCUGGCGGCGUGCUUAACACAUGCAAGUCGAACGGUAAGGCUCCAGCUUGCUGGGGUACACGAGUGGCGAACGGGUGAGUAACACGUGGGUGACCUGCCCUGCACUUCGGGAUAAGCCUGGGAAACUGGGUCUAAUACCGGAUAGGACCGCACCGUGAGGGUGUGGUGGAAAGUUUUUUCGGUGUGGGAUGGGCCCGCGGCCUAUCAGCUUGUUGGUGGGGUAAUGGCCUACCAAGGCGGCGACGGGUAGCCGGCCUGAGAGGGUGGACGGCCACAUUGGGACUGAGACACGGCCCAGACUCCUACGGGAGGCAGCAGUGGGGAAUAUUGCACAAUGGGCGGAAGCCUGAUGCAGCGACGCCGCGUGGGGGAUGACGGCCUUCGGGUUGUAAACUCCUUUCACCAUCGACGAAGGGUUUCUGACGGUAGAUGGAGAAGAAGCACCGGCUAACUACGUGCCAGCAGCCGCGGUAAUACGUAGGGUGCGAGCGUUGUCCGGAAUUACUGGGCGUAAAGAGCUCGUAGGUGGUUUGUCGCGUCGUCUGUGAAAUUCCGGGGCUUAACUCCGGGCGUGCAGGCGAUACGGGCAUAACUUGAGUACUGUAGGGGAGACUGGAAUUCCUGGUGUAGCGGUGAAAUGCGCAGAUAUCAGGAGGAACACCGGUGGCGAAGGCGGGUCUCUGGGCAGUAACUGACGCUGAGGAGCGAAAGCAUGGGGAGCGAACAGGAUUAGAUACCCUGGUAGUCCAUGCCGUAAACGGUGGGCGCUAGGUGUGGGUUUCCUUCCACGGGAUCCGUGCCGUAGCUAACGCAUUAAGCGCCCCGCCUGGGGAGUACGGCCGCAAGGCUAAAACUCAAAGGAAUUGACGGGGGCCCGCACAAGCGGCGGAGCAUGUGGAUUAAUUCGAUGCAACGCGAAGAACCUUACCUGGGCUUGACAUAUACAGGAUCGCGCCAGAGAUGGUGUUUCCCUUGUGGCUUGUAUACAGGUGGUGCAUGGUUGUCGUCAGCUCGUGUCGUGAGAUGUUGGGUUAAGUCCCGCAACGAGCGCAACCCUUAAGCUUAGUUGCCAUCAUUAAGUUGGGCACUCUAAGUUGACUGCCGGUGACAAACCGGAGGAAGGUGGGGAUGACGUCAAAUCAUCAUGCCCCUUAUGAUUUGGGCUACACACGUGCUACAAUGGACAAUACAAAGGGCAGCGAAACCGCGAGGUCAAGCAAAUCCCAUAAAGUUGUUCUCAGUUCGGAUUGUAGUCUGCAACUCGACUACAUGAAGCUGGAAUCGCUAGUAAUCGUAGAUCAGCAUGCUACGGUGAAUACGUUCCCGGGUCU
rnacentral:rRNA from 1 species